AUGUAUGUGUGUGUGUAUAUAUGUAUAAAUAUGUUAAACGUUCAUAUAUACAUGUGUGUGUGCAUAGUGAGAGAGAGACAAAGUGUUGCGUGCGUGCGCAUGUGUGUCUGUCUGUGUGUUGAUCAAUGAUGUUCCACGAGGAAGCCUUUCUGUCAGUGACGUGACAUUUUGCUAUCAGAAAGCACCACAUGCCGUGUAGAUCUGACAACAACUCCAUUUGACGCCAAGCCAUCUUCAUUUACAUGCAGUCGUCAUAGCAACAUGUAUUCAUUUGUUUAUAUUCUGACUUGGAGCGAAAAGAUCGUGGAAUUUAGCGAUAAAUAUUAUGUAUAUAUAUAUAUAUAUAUAUAUAUAUAUAUACACAUCUGUUUGAGUGUACACAUACUACAUUAGCUUUUCACUUGUUUCAGUCAGGCAUCGUUUUGAGGAAUUUUCAGUCGAAUGAAUCAACCCCUGGUCUUAUUUAAAAAGAUAGUUUUGUUAAGCCUAUUGUUAAGCCUAUCGUCUCUUUCGCCGAACAGCUAAACUACGUCAUAGGAAUUCGACCAUGCUGGGGCACAGCCUUCACGGGUUUAGUGGAAUAUAUCGACACCAAUGCUUAUUUUUAGUGUGCUACUUAUUCAUCAGACACUUUGGCAAAUGUUUGCAACGUAAACAACUCAAUACCCAUUGUCAAACGAGGAUGAGGACAAACAAUGACACACACACACAAUAUAUAAUACCUCCAAGACCACCACCACCACCAUCACCAAACGUAGACGAUUGAUUGUGUAAACAAUAUUCAUAAUAUAGCACAAUCUUUAAACAAACACAAAGACAAAUCAUAUAUAAAAAUGAGCGCCUGGCGGAUGAUGGAUAAAUCUAACCACACGAAUUCAAACUUUGCUGGUAUUGUUUACAGCUAUCAUAUUGGCCUUGUCUACAAUGGAAUUAACAGCAGCCACGCCAUCAGCACGCCACCUAGAAGAUGAGACUCCGAAAGUCUAAAAACAUUAAUGGUGGGGUUUGCAAUAAUCGUAUAUAUGAAAACGAAAAUAAAAAUUGAUAAAAUAUAUAAAUAAAACUUGAAGAGAGGCGUGAUUGCAAUGCAUGAGACUGUCUGUAUUUCGUUUGUGAUACGUGGUCUUUUUAUCUGUCUUUGGCUGUCUGUCUCUCUGUCUCUUUUUUGCUCGCUCUCUCCUUCAGUGUGUGUGUGUGUGUGUGUGUGUGCGCGCGCGAACAUGUCCCGAGCAAUAAAUUCGAUAUCAUAUAGAAAUAUUAUAAACCCAGUUCACUCGCAUGCUUUCCAAUCUCCCUCUCUCUCUCUCUCUCUCUCGCGCGCGCGCGCGCAUGUGCGUGCGUGUAAGUAUGUGUGUCUUCUGAACGUAGUGUUUGUGCAGGUAUGUCAGCAUGUCUUUGCUUACAUGUGCUAGAGUAUGUCUAGUAUACGCGCGUGCGAGAGACAAACAGAGAGAGAGUGUGUGUGGGACGCAGUGAGUGUGCGUGUACGAAUUUGUGAUUGUGUGUAUGUAUAUCCUAUGCUACUGAGAGGGGGGGUGUGUUUGAUGUACGUGAAGGGCGUGCGUAUGGCGUUCUA